rnacentral:rRNA from 1 species
UACGUAGGGUGCGAGCGUUGUCCGGAAUUAUUGGGCGUAAAGGGCUCGUAGGCGGUUUGUCGCGUCGGGAGUGAAAACACUGGGCUUAACUCAGUGCUUGCUUCCGAUACGGGCAGACUAGAGGUAUGCAGGGGAGAACGGAAUUCCUGGUGCAGCGGUGAAAUGCGCAGAUAUCAGGAGGAACACCGGUGGCGAAGGCGGUUCUCUGGGCAUUACCUGACGCUGAGGAGCGAAAGUGUGGGGAGCGAACAGG